rnacentral:tRNA from 1 species
GGGAUGUAGCUCAUCUGGUAGAGCGUCAGGUUCGCAAUCUGAAAGUGGCGGGUUCGAGUCCCGUCAUCUCC